rfam:Ananas comosus cultivar MD2 ACMD2_Scaffold_4221, whole genome shotgun sequence.
CACUCGGGAGCUCUGUGGUAGAGCCCGUCUGCUGUUAACUGACUGGCCGUAGGUUCGAUUCCUACUUGUGAGA